GUCUUUAUGAAAUAUUUAUAAAGUCUGGCCUGCCCACUGAAUUUUAAAGGGCCGCGGUAUUUUGACCGUGCAAAGGUAGCAUAGUCAUUUGUCUCUUAAUUGGAGGCUUGUAUGAAUGGUCGCACAAGAAACAAACUGUCUUCAAUAAAAUUAAUUGAAUUUAACUUUUAAGUAAAAAGGCUUAAAUAAAUUAAAGUGACGAUAAGACCCUAUAAAACUUGAUAAAUAAAAUUAAAAAAGCGUAUUAGUUUAUUAAAACUUUUUUUUUCUAACUUAUUUUAUUGGGGCGAUAAAAAUAUAAAAAGUAACUGUUUUUAAAAUUUUAAUGGCUAAUAACUAAAUUAAAUAAAUGAUCCUUUAAUAAAGAUUAAAAGAUUAAGUUACUUUAGGGAUAACAGCGUAAUUUUCUUUGAGAGUUCAUAUCUACAAGAAAGAUUACGACCUCGAUGUUGAAUUAAAAAAUCUUUAAGGUGUAGCAGCUUUAAAAGAAGGUCUGUUCGACCUUUAAAUUUUU
rnacentral:rRNA from 1 species